CUACCAAGGAUUCCCUUAGUAACUGCGAGUGAAGAGGGAAAAGCUCAAAUUUAAAAUCUGGCAGUGUUUCACUGUCCGAGUUGUAACCUAGAGAAGUGUAACCUGUGCUGGACCGUGUACAAGUCUCCUGGAAUGGAGCAUCACAGAGGGUGAGAAUCCCGUCUUUGACAUGGACUACCAGUGCAUUGCGGUUGCGCUCUCAACGAGUCGAGUUGUUUGGGAAUGCAGCUCUAAAUGGGUGGUAAAUUCCAUCUAAAGCUAAAUAUUGGCGAGAGACCGAUAGCGAACAAGUACCGUGAGGGAAAGAUGAAAAGAACUUUGGAAAGAGAGUUAAACAGUAUGUGAAAUUGUUGAAAGGGAAACGUUUGAAGUCAGUCGCGUUGGUUGGGGAUCAGCCUGACAUUGUUGGGUGUAUUUCCUGGUCGACGGGCCAACAUCAGUUUUGACUGCCAGAAAAAGGCCAAAGGAAUGUGGCACCUUUGGGUGUGUUAUAGCCCUUGGUCGUAUAUGGUGGUUGGGACUGAGGAAAGCAGCGUGCCGAAAGGCCGGGUUUCGACCACGUUCACGCUGAGGAUGUUGGCAUAAUGGCUUUAAGCGACCCGUCUUGAAACACGGACCAAGGAGUCUAACAUGCAUGCGAGUGUUUGGGUGGAAAACCCUUACGCGUAAUGAAAGUGAAAGUUGAGAUCCCUGUCGCGGGGAGCAUCGACGCCCGGACCAGAACUUUUGGGACGGAUCUGCGGUAGAGCACGUAUGUUGGGACCCGAAAGAUGGUGAACUAUGCCUGAAUAGGGUGAAGCCAGAGGAAACUCUGGUGGAGGCUCGUAGCGAUUCUGACGUGCAAAUCGAUCGUCAAAUUUGGGUAUAG
rnacentral:rRNA from 1 species